rnacentral:rRNA from 1 species
CAUAUCAAUAAGCGGAGGAAAAGAAACCAACAGGGAUUGCCUCAGUAACGGCGAGUGAAGCGGCAUCAGCUCAAAUUUGAAAUCUGGCCUCACGGUCCGAGUUGUAAUUUGUAGAGAAUGCUUCGGGCGAGGUCCGGUCUAAGUUCCUUGGAACAGGACGUCAUAGAGGGUGAGAAUCCCGUAUGCGACCGGGUGCCUCUGUCCAUGUGAAGCUUCUUCGACGAGUCGAGUUGUUUGGGAAUGCAGCUCAAAAUGGGUGGUAAAUUUCAUCUAAAGCUAAAUACUGGCCAGAGACCGAUAGCGCACAAGUAGAGUGAUCGAAAGAUGAAAAGCACUUUGGAAAGAGAGUUAAACAGUACGUGAAAUUGUUGAAAGGGAAGCGCUUGCGACCAGACUUGCGCGUAGCCGAUCAUCCGGUGUUCUCACCGGUGCACUCGGUUGCGCUCAGGCCAGCAUCGGUUUCGGUGGUUGGAUAAAGGCCCUGGGAAUGUAGCUCCUCUCGGGGAGUGUUAUAGCCCUCGGCGCAAUGCAGCCUACCGGGACCGAGGACCGCGCUUCGGCUAGGAUGCUGGCGUAAUGGUCGUAAGCGACCCGUCUUGAAACACGGACCAAGGAGUCUAACAUCUAUGCGAGUGUUUGGGUGUCAAACCCAUACGCGUAAUGAAAGUGAACGGAGGUGAGAACCCUUAAGGGUGCAUCAUCGACCGAUCCUGAUGUCUUCGGAUGGAUUUGAGUAAGAGCAUAGCUGUUGGGACCCGAAAGAUGGUGAACUAUGCCUGAAUAGGGUGAAGCCAGAGGAAACUCUGGUGGAGGCUCGCAGCGGUUCUGACGUGCAAAUCGAUCGUCAAAUUUGGGUAUAGGGGCGAAAGACUAAUCGAACCAUC